rnacentral:tRNA from 3 species
GGGCCUGUAGUUUAAUUGGUAAAACAUCAAACUCAUAAUUUGACAGAUCUCGGUUCGAGUCACGGGUGGGCCCACCA